CGAGGUCGAGGGAGUCUGGUUCUCUACGGUCGACACUCGGGGCAUCCCGACCUUAGUCGAGGAACCGUUCGUCAGGGGAUUGGGGAUCGUCGACCGCUCCCGGGGGUCCACUUCGUGGCGCCCCGGGUGGAGCCACCCUUUCCACCCCUCGCGGCUUCUUCCCGAGGUCGAGGGAGUCUGGUUCUCUACGGUCGACCCUCGGGGCAUCCUGACCUUGGCCGGGAAAUCUGAGGAUCACAGACGACCCAACAUUAGAAGAGAAUUACAGCCAUCAAGAUAAGAGAAUUAUUUGCGAAAAGGAAGCUGAGUCCAUUGUCCUGAUUGUCUUGAACCCCCAGGGGUUUUACUGGCAGUACAUUCGUAGAUUCUCGGAGUUCCAGCUUCGCGGGAUCAGGGUCCCCUCUAGGGACUUCAAUUUGUACGCCCCUGGUCGUUGCACCCGGGCGAUCCGAUACGGCCCUUCCCAAUUUGGGGCGAGCUUUCCUUGCUCGGCUGGUCGAGAAGCC
rnacentral:lncRNA from 1 species